AAGGGUUGAAGUAGGGUGUUGUGCCAGAAAGCAGUGCCUUACCAACUUUAUAAGGGUUUAGUAUUUACCACAAUCAGGCUAGAGAGCGAAAACUCUUAAAAGAAAAUGCCGGGA
ncrna:unclassified sequences drum RNA